rnacentral:rRNA from 1 species
AGAUAAUAGAUACCCCGGUAGUCCACGCCGUAAACGAUGGGUGCUAGAUGUUUCUGGUAUUGACCCCGGAGGCGUCGUAGCUAAACGCGUUAAGCACCCCGCCUGGGAAGUACGGCCGCAAGGCUAAAACUCAAAGGAAUUGACGGGGGCCCGCACAAGCGGUGGAGCAUGUGGUUCAAUUCGACGCAACGCGCAGAACCUUACCUGGGUUGGAACCCCCUAGAAGUCCCUAGAGAUGGGGAUGUGCUCGCAAGAGAACUAGGUGUCCAGGUGCUGCAUGGCUGUCGUCAAGCUCGUGUCGUGAGAUGUUGGGUUAAAUCCCGCAACGAGCGCAACCCUUGUCGUUAGUUGCUAACAGUUCGGCUGAGCACUCUAACGAGACUGCCGGUGUUAAACCGGNGAAGGUGGGAUGACGUCAAGUCCUCAUGGCCCUUAUGCCCAGGGCUACGACACGUGCUACAAUGGGCGGUACAAAGCGUUGCUAA